AAAACAUUUUCAUUGAUAUUUAUUUUUAUUUAAUUUUUAUAAUAAUAAAAUUUUUUAAUUGUGUUUUAACACUCUUUUUUUAUAUUAAGAACCACCUAACGUUGAGAAGAACUCUAGUGAAGAAUACCAUUUGGCUAAAGAAGAACCUAAAGUUGAGAAGAAAUUAAAAAUAGUGAUAACGGAAGAGGAAGACUUUGUAAGCAGUGAUUCUAUUGAAGAAUACUACGAGGCU